GCUGUAGCUUAGUGGUAGAGCAUCUGCUUGGCAUGCAGAAGGUCAGUUGCUAAUGGCAUCUGCAGCA